rfam:Clostridium butyricum E4 str. BoNT E BL5262 CLP.Contig60, whole genome shotgun sequence.
AACUUAUCAAGAGUGGUGGAGGGACCGGCCCGAUGAAACCCAGCAACCAAUAUGUAAUGUCAUUUAUUAUAUAUACGGUGCUAAUUCCUGCAGUUAUUAUAUUUAACUGAAAGAUGAGAG